rnacentral:rRNA from 1 species
CCCCUAGAUGUUCUGGGCCGCACGCGCGCUACACUGAACAGUUCAACAAGUCUUAACCUUGGCCGAUAGGUCUGGGUAAUCUUUGAACGCUGUUCGUGAUUGGGAUAGACCUUUGCAAUUAUGGGUCUUCAACGAGGAAUUCCUAGUAAACGCAAGUCAUCAGCUUGCCUUGAUUACGUCCCUGCCCUUUGUACACACCGCCCGUCGCACCUACCGAUUGAAUGGUCCGGUGAAAUCUCGGGACGGCGGCUUGGUCGCUUGCGUCCGACUGCUGAAACUUGAUUAAACCAUAUCAUUUAGAGGAAGGUGAANUCGUAACA